rnacentral:rRNA from 1 species
AGAACGAACGCUGGCGGCAUGCCUAAUACAUGCAAGUCGAACGAACUCUUCGGAGUUAGUGGCGCACGGGUGCGUAACGCGUGGGAAUCUGCCCUUGGGUUCGGAAUAACAGUUGGAAACGACUGCUAAUACCGGAUGAUGACGAAAGUCCAAAGAUUUAUCGCCCAGGGAUGAGCCCGCGUAGGAUUAGCUAGUUGGUGAGGUAAAGGCUCACCAAGGCGACGAUCCUUAGCUGGUCUGAGAGGAUGAUCAGCCACACUGGGACUGAGACACGGCCCAGACUCCUACGGGAGGCAGCAGUAGGGAAUAUUGGACAAUGGGCGAAAGCCUGAUCCAGCAAUGCCGCGUGAGUGAUGAAGGCCUUAGGUUGUAAAGCUCUUUUACCCGAGAUGAUAAUGACAGUAUCGGAGAAUAAGCCCCGGCUAACUCCGCGCCAGCAGCCGC